UAAUCCUUCUCAUUUGGCCUUAUCACCACCAAAACGUGUCGAGAGAAAAAACAUUUUCUCUUUUCUUUCUCUUUCUUCUUCUCCUUCUUCUCUGUUCCUCUUAUCCUUCUUUCUGUCGAUCUCUGUUAAGAAGAACUGAGUUAUUCUUGUGCAAUUUGUUCAUAGAAAUUUAGUUGGCUCGAUGCAUGAAGAAGAUGAUGUGAUGUUAUAGUUGAUUUAGUUGCGGGAGAAGAAUGAACUGAUGCUGCUGAGGAUUGAUACUUAGAGUUCGGUUUUGAGAACGAAGAAUUAAGAAGAGCUGAGUACGAUCGAGGAGUAUAUGAUGGUAGUGAUGUUGAUUCAAGUAGUUGAUUCAGAUUUACAAGAAAAAGUUACUAUGUAUUAACAUCGAUCGAUUCAACGGAUGAUCAUGUAGACUUCGGAUCUCGAGGAAGGUGAGGCUUGUCAUCUAAUCAGGUGGGAACUCUUUAACCUUCUUUUAAUCAUUGAGCAUUCUUUCUAUUGCGAACAUGAUGAGUCUUUAUUACUUUUGUAAUGAUUGUGUGUUUUAUUAUCUAAGUAAUUAUAUGUGUCUUGAUGUGCGUGUAAUAUGCGUUGUAUGAUUUCCCCGCAAGGAGUGUCUGUGAUUCCCCACGGCUCUUUGCUAAGUUAAGUAUGGCGGCUUCUUCCCCGUUUUAAUAUUACAUUGUAGGGCGGCUUCUUCCCCGUUUCAAUAUAUUAGUAGGGCGGCUUCUUCCCCGUUUCGAUAGUAUAUAAAUAAUUUAAAUAGUAUGGCGGCUUCUUCCCCGUUUUAAUAUUACCUAGUAGGGUGGCUUCUUCCACGUUUCGAUAGUAUAUAAUUAACAUAGUAGAGCGACUUCUUCCCCGUUAUAAUGUUACCUAGUAGGGAGGCUUCUUCCCAGUUUCAUUAUUAUAUAUACUACUUUAUUAUGGGGAAAUCACUCGUGUGCAUAUUAUACUUGUUUUUCUAACUUCCUGAUCUUGAUAGUAAUAUUUUGAAUCAUGGUUUGUCUGGGCAAUCUGUGUGGACGAUGCUAUUAUUAUUGAUUAGGGUUGCUCUCGCGUCGUCUUCUCCAAUGAGUUUGGCGAGGUUAGAGUGACACUUGCUUAAUGAUGCAUAAAUAACUGAAUGAUUAAUUUCUUCUUGUUUCUUUCGAUUUAUAUUCUUUUAGAACUUUGAAGCAUGUUAGUGAUUACUUGAGAGUUGCAUGUUUUCGUUGAGCCCCCUUUUUGGGAUGAUGUGCUCAUUCGUUCCCACUUCAGUUUCAGUAUUCAGA